GUGGAAAAGGGACCUCUGCUGCAUGUGUUUCAAGGCUCACAAGAUCUUCUCCUUCCCAGAGGCUAGCGAAGAUUAGAAGGCGAAAAAAACGCACUUGUGAUGAAAUCUUCUCCGAGCUCAUGCGGUCUUCCCACACUGACAGAGCAAUGCGUGGAGGCAGAGAAUGUCAGAGUGCAGGAAAGCACAAAAUGAGCGGGAGGAGAGGUGACGGGCUGAAGCUGAAAGGUGGUGGCAGCGUGAUG